UACGGAGGGUGCGAGCGUUGUCCGGAAUUACUGGGCGUAAAGGGCGCGUAGGCGGCGCGGAAAGUCAACGGUGAAAGCUUGGGGCUCAACCCCGAGUCGGCCGUCGAUACUUCCGUGCUCGAGCACUGUAGAGGCAGGUGGAAUUCCGGGUGUAGCGGUGGAAUGCGUAGAGAUCCGGAAGAACACCGGUGGCGAAGGCGGCCUGCUGGGCAGUUGCUGACGCUGAUGCGCGACAGCGAGGGGAGCAAACAGG
rnacentral:rRNA from 1 species